rnacentral:lncRNA from 1 species
CUAGGAAACCCUAGGUCCUUAUGCGCCGCUCCUCCAUGUGCGCCGUACUCCAGCUCCAGUGUGCACACCGCUCAAGGCUCGCCAACUCUUCUACCACACCUGCAAAACGAAAGCAAAAAAAAGAAACCAAGACAGAAGGCAGGAACACGAAAAGCAAAAGGACUAGCAAAAUAGAUGGUGAUUUUGUAACAUUCUUGGCUAUAAGAAGCCAUUUUCAAACAGAUGUAAGAGGGAGGGGGAUUAAUAAAAAAAAAACCAAAAGCAGAUUGUAGAAGAGAAAAAAGAGAAAACAGAGAAUAUUAAACAAUCAAAAAAUCGAAGCAAUCAAAAAAGGGGAAAAAGGUUGAACUCCAUUCUCUCAUUUCUGUUUCUUUAUAUCUUUGAUUUUUUUAUUAUUUAAAUCAGUUUUAAAACAAAUAAGGGAGAAAUGAUGAAAGAAAAUACUUACCCGAGCCUUGAAUCAUUGGUGUAUCGUCGGAGUUCUUCUCCGUUAAAACCGAAUCCAACAAAGGUGGGAACUUUCUUUUUGAUUCUUCAUGAUGGGAAGUGUCAGAUCCUUGAAUAUGGAUCUAAAUGGGGUUAAAGAACGAGAAACCACCCUCCGUCGACCACCGUUUGCGGUGGCUACAUGGCGGCUAGGGUUUGGUCUACUUAGGGCUCGCACAAAUGGGGAAAAGAGGGAGUGUUUCAGACUUUUUUUUAGAAAAGGAAGAAGAAUAAUUGAAAAAAAACUUAAAACUGGUUUAAA